ACACCCACAUCCUAUCUCAAUGUCUCAAACAAAAAAAAAAAAUAUUUAUCAAGAGCCUUGGAAAGCGUGCGCUGAAACCCUCACAAUUCCCUAUCUUCUUCUUCCUCACGCCCGAAGGACCUUCCCCCUACGCCAGCCAUCUCGCGCAGACGCCGGCCUCCAAUUGCCGCCGUUGUUCGUCUGUCGCCCAUUCGCGCUGUCUCCGACUGAAGCCGUUGCGGUGGGUUGAUUUUUUCCCUUGCAAUUUUUCUUCUUCUCGCGCGAGCCUUAGUCAAACCCUCGCCGCCUAUCAGUUUCUCCCCGUCGCCUUUCAGUCGCUUUACGUCAGCAGUCGCCGACGCCGUUCACGUCGGAUCUGUGUCGUCGUCGUCCAGCAUCGUUUCGAUGGGUAUUGUUCCAGAUUUGUUCACAGCCACCGAACCUAGCCGUGACAGUCUGCUGUCGUCAUGCAUCGCCGCUCACGUCACCGUCGAUGCAGCACCGUCACCGCCACUACUGCCUUUGAUUUUCGCCGGAAUCUUGGAUUUGGGUAAAGAUCGAAUGAUUUUGACUGAAGGGUAGAAAUAUGGUUAGUUGCUGUUUAGCGGUGCAGGAUCAAUUUCGAUAAAGAUUUUGAAUGACUUUGGUUCAGGAUUUUGUUAGAGAUUGUUUUGUCUGGACAACAAUACUAGGGCUCGUAUUCGAGGUUGGAGAAUAGUCGGGAAGUUUCUCGUGGUGGUCUACGAAUCGUUCGUGAGGAGAUGGGAGCUAAUUUGGAGAAGCUUUAGGACUACAAAGGUUGUAUUUCUUCUUCCCCUUUUACUUGUUUUUCUUGCAUGCUUAUCCUUUGUAAUUAACCUAAUUAAAGUACUUUAGAUCCGUUAUUUCUUCCGCUGCGCAUGUGUUCGUUCCAUCAGAAAACAAUUGUGCUUCCACAGACACAUAUUCCACCAUCCUGACCGAUUAUGUUGUAAUGAACAUGGCGUUAGGAGAAUUUGUUACAAUGAUCGUGAUGAAAAAAAGACAUGAUUGCAGAACAUAUAGCCUAACGUGCCCAGUCACAACCACUACCACCCACGCAGGUCCACAGGUUUUGACCAAGAAUUAGAACUUGCAAAACUUGAGAUAUCGAACCAGUAAUGCGGGAGUAGUUCAAGAGCACUUCUACGAAAAAUAUUUCUCUACUAACUUGAGAUAUAACAAGCAUAGGGAAUUUUUAGACUUGAAGCAAGACAACAUGAUCGUAGAGGAGUAUGACAAAAAGUUUGAUUAGUUAUCUUGUUUUGCUCCUAAAAUGUUUGCCAUGGAGGCUGGAAGGGUGGAGAGGUUCUUUCACAGGCUGAAAGAUGGAGUACGAGGCUUGGUGCAAGCCUUUAAACCGACUACUCAUGCUUAGCCAUUCGCUUAGCAAGUCAGAUAGAUGGGGAAUCUCUAAAGUCAUUGGGAGUAGGAUCCUCCUGAGGGCGGAAGAGGAAGGUAGACCAGAGAGGCUCCAAAACCUUUGUAGAAGAGCUAGAAUUGGAUUAACCAUCACGACAUCUUCAACAACGGGCUUCUGAGUCAAAAAUGGGUAGGAGAGAUAAACCAAUUUGUAGUUCUUGUAGGAGACGCCAUUAAGGGCAUUGUUUAGUUGGGUGUUGUUUACAAAGUUAACAAACUCCACUGCCAGCCCUAAUGAUGUGUCCCACAAGAACUAUAAAUUGGUUCAUGUCUCUCAACCAGUCCUGACUCGGAAGCUUGUUGUUGGAAGUGUUGUAGUGGUCUGUCUGAAUUCUAGUUCUUUUAUAGAGGCUCUAGAGCUCUCUAGUCUACCUUCCUCUUUUGACUUGAGGAGGAUCUGACUCCAAACGACUUUAGAUACUCAGCCCAUGAUGGGAAGUCUAUCUAACUUGCUAAGCAAAGGGCUUCGACAUGAGUGGUCGGUUUAAAGGCUUGCCCCAAGCUUCGUCUUCGUAUCUCAUCUUUUCAGCCCGUGAACAAACCUCUUUACCUUUUCAACCUUCAUGGUAACUAUUUUUAGAGCAAAACGGGAUAACUGAUCAAACUUUUGGUCAUACUCCUCUACAGUUAUCUUGCCUUGCUUCAAGUUCAAAAAUUUCUUCUACUCAUUAUAUCUCAAGCAAAGAAAUAUUUUUCGUAUAGAAGUGCUCCUUGAAUUGCUCCUACGUUACUGGUUCGCACCGUAUCUAUAAUCAUCCUCUUUACUGAAUGCCACCAGAUUUGGGCUUUAUCUGUGAGCAUGAAGACGACAUAUUGAACCUUUUGAUCCUUCAAGCAUUUCAUAUAUCAAAAUAUUGUCUCUAUAGAAGACAGCUCAUCCAUAGCUCUGCCUUAGUAGGGUCCUUCAGUGGCCCAUUGAAGGUGUAGGGAUUGUACUUUCUGAAAUCUCAUAGGUGUUUUGUUUUGAGAGACAAGUCUUGUAAGUUUUGAUUCUUGGUCUAAACUUGUGGCGUCUAGAAUUGGGGGUGGUAUUUGUUGUGAUUAGGUAUGUUGGGCAAUCUUUUUUGCCAUCAUGUCUUUUAUUUUUUCCAUCACGGGCAUUGUAACAGAUUCUUCUAUCGCCGCGACCAUUGAAGCAUAAUUGGUCGGGAAGAUUGGUGGAAUCUGUGUCAGGCACUAUUGUAUUUCGGGUCCGUCUUCUCAUUUCAACUCCUUGUCCCCUUGACCCAGAAGGGUCCCUCGAUAGCGGGAUCCUUCGUCGCAAGAGGGUUUCGAACCUGAGGGUCCUAGACUGUUGGAUUUCAUCCCCCUCUAAUCUGUCACAACUGCUCAUUCCUCUAACUUGUGGUGCUAUUUCCUAACAACCACACAUAACUAACUUAUAACAAAUUAUUUGAAACAUGUCAAUUAUGACUAUAAAUUAGACAAAAUCUUGUGCAUAUUAUUCUAGAGACUUUUUCUUGAAGGACAUAUCUGGCGAUGAAGAACAAUUCGUUAAUGUUUAAUAGAACAAAUAUAAAAAAUCAGAGUUCAAACAUCAAGGCUAUGCAUUCAUAUAGUGAGUAUAAAUACUGACUGAUGAAUGGAAGUGUCUGACUAGUGAGUAUAAAUACUCCUUAAUCAUUCGUUGGUUUGUCUUUGUCCUUACUUGAAAACAUAAAAUAAGAAAUAGUGAGUAUAAAUACUCAGUAAGUAACCCAUUACCAGGAUAAGACUGUGCAUUCAUAUCCAAUAAAUAUAAACGUGCUAGGACAUGCACAAAUUAACCAUUCAUAGAUGGUCGUCUAGUGCACCUUCAAAUGGGUCACUGUCACUCUGACAUAUUCAUUCAUAUAAAGAAAACCAUGCUUAAUCAACAUACAUAAAAGAGGCAUUAUCAAUCAAUACAUGGCUCGAAGACAUUCUAGUAGUAAAUUUGUACCUUGAACUUGCGCCCAUAUAAAACUUUGUAAGUAAUCAACCUCUUCCGUCUAACUUCUAGGAAUGCUUGUUGGAAAAAAAUUGAAGUUGUCUAUCUCAAACAACUAAAUGUCUUUAGAAGUUUCUAAGAGGAACUUCUUCACUACAAAAAGGAAAGCGAGACACCUAAAAAAAAUAUGUGGAAGUAAUAAGGAACUUUUCUCUCUAAUUGACCUUUGUUUGGAAUGAAGUAAAUGGUUUGGAAUGGAGUGGAUGAUUGUAUUUAUAGAGGAAAAGUAAUCCUAAUCGUAAAUUAUUUGGAAUUCCAUAACUGUAGUAGAUAGAUUAAAUUUACUUUAUUUAAUAUGACACUUUAUCUAUUGGGAAAUUAUAUUUCUUUUUUAAAUAAGUUACUUCCUAUAAUUAGGAAAAAUAGUAGAUAGAUUGGAUUUACUUUUUGAAUAUGAACUAAUCUAAUUAGGAUUACACAUUUUAAUUAAUUAAAAAAAUCCAUAGUCUAUUUAAAUUAAGUAUCUAUAUUUGAAUUAGAAAAUUCAUAAUCUAAUUAAAUUAGGCAUCCAUAUUCUAGUUAAAUUAAAAAUCCAAAAUAAACCCAUCUCCAUUUGAUUUGAUUUGAUUUUUUAUUUUUGGGGAUAAGAAACAAUUUCAUUGAUUAAAUGAAAUCCAUGGAUAUCCAUUGGUACAUGAGGACCCCAAUCAUAGGGUGUACAAAAAGACCCUUUCAAAGGGAGUGCAAAAGGUGUUUCCAAUUUUCAACAAGGAAAGAAAAAUUGUGAUUUUGUAUAGCCUGUAAAUCUUUGCACAAAAAAGGCAGUGUAUGAUGGUAUCAAUAAUGUUCUUUGUUGUCUUAGCCUUGUCUUGGAAGAUUCUAGCAUUUCUUUCAUCCCAAAUCUUCCACAAUACAGCACAAAUGAUGCUUAACCAGAGACAUUCUUUAUCAUUUUUGAAAGGUAUCUAGCCGAUUAGUAGGUGAAGCCAACUUUGCAAAUUAUUUGGAAGGACCACAGACCAGUUAAAAGCAGAAAAGACUUCCAUUCAUAUCCCUCUGGAGAAAGGGCAGUCAAAGAAAACAUGUUGGGCAUCUUUGUUGUUCAUUUGACAAAGGCAACACCAUGAGGGAGAGGUGGAUCCAAGGGUAUCGUUUUUGUAAUCCGUCCAUGGUGUUUAAGACAAAAGUUAGUGAUUUCCCAUAGGAGGAAUUUAACACUCUUUGGGUAGGGACAACUCCACAAUUUCGUGAAAAGGCCGGUUGAAGGUGAGAGUGGGUUGGAUAUGAAGGAAGAGUAUAAAGACUUUGUACUGAAAUCAAUGUGGCUAAGCUUCCAUAUCCAUUAGUCCUUUCUAUAAGUAAGGUUUAGACUUGGAAUAAGAUGAGUAAGAGCAGUCCAUUCUUCAAUCUCAUCUUCUUUAAGAUUUCUUCUAAAGUUUAAGGACCAAGAACAAUUUGUAGCAUUCAAAGCCUCCUUAAUAGAAAUAUUUUUUUGUGGUAGGUAGCCGAUAGAGCCUAGGAAAGGUUUGUUUUAGGGCAGAACCAGCAAGCUAAUAGACUGUCCAAAACGCUGUAGAGGAACCAUCACCAAUCUGACACUGUAUAUUCCCAUAGAUAAGGUCCAUUUGAUGCAGAAUGUGUUUCCAAGGGCUUCUGGUUGAUAAGCUUUUGUAUUCGACAGCCUUGAGAUCAAAAUGGUGUGAUCCAUAUUUAGCUUCGAUUAAGAUCCUCCAAAGGGCGUCUUUCUCCAAAUGAAAAUGCCAAAUCCAUUUGGCAAGGUGGGCUUUGUUUUGUUGUUUAGUAUCAGUGAUCCCGAAUCCUCCUUCAGCCAAAGGUUUCUUCAAUUUGUCCUAUUUUAAUAAAUGAGAUAGUUUGCUAUCCCUGUGACCCGACCAAAGAAAGUUUCUUAAACAUCUGUCAAUGACAUCAAUAAUUUUCCCAGGGCAUGGUAGAGGGAUAAAUAGUGGACAGGUAGAUUAGAUAAGGUUGCUUUCAGAAGGGUUAGUCUUCCUCCUUUUGAAAGGAAGUUGUGUUGCCAAGAGUGAAGUCUCUUGUCAAUUUUGUCUAAAAUUGGUUGGCAAAAGGUAACUGAUGUGAAUUCAUCCAUUGAACCAUUGCAUGUACCUAAAGGACCAAUUACAAGAAGCAAGGCAAAAAAGAUUCAAGAGGCAUUCACAUUACAUCUUCAAAAACUAGCAAAUUCACAUGAACCAACAAACAAGGUGAUCCAUUAUCACCCUUCUUGUUCAUUAUCAUAAUGGAUAGUCUUAGCAGAAUCCUCACAAUGGCGAAUACAAAAGGUUUUAUUAGCGGAUACUCAAUUCCAAGCUCACAUCACAACAACAUCAAUCAGCUCCUUUUUACUGAUGAUGCUCUACUUUUCUUCAUUAGCAAUGAGAGGAUGAUCAAAAACCUCUUCAAUUUAAUUACUCUUUUUGAAUUUGCUUCUGGUCUCAACAUCAAUAGACAUAAAUCAUAAUUCGUGGGUAUUAAUUGCGAGGAUGAUUGGGUGGUAUCUAUUGCCAAUAGAUUUGAUUGUAAGGUUGAGAUAUGACCUACCACAUAUUUAGGUUUGCCCAUUUAUGGAAAACCAACAGCAGUUACUGAUGUGAAUUCAAUCAUUGAACCAUUGAAUGUACCUAAAGGAUCAAUUACAAGAAGCAAGGCAAAGAAGAUUCAAAGGCAUUCACACUACAUCUUCAAAAACUAGCAAAUUCACAAGAACCGACAAAUAAUUUUGAGACCAAAGUUUUAUAUAAUGUUAGUUCAAUGAGUCAAGAAGAGAAUGACAUGAAGAUGGCACGGGAAAAGUCCUAUAGUUUGGAAGAUGACUCGGUGGUCAAAAAAAGUGUGCAGAUUUUUUGAAGAAAAUGUUGUCAAGUGUGCACUGCAUGGGAAAAUGUGAUGUCAAACCUUGUCAAACAUGCAUAUCUACUUUGCCACCUUCUAGAGGAGAUAUUUAAGGCAAAUUGAAGACUUUCUACAUUCCUAGUUUUGAAUUUUGACUUAUAAUUUAGUGUGCAAUUAAGUUUUAAGUUUCUAGGAGUUAUUUUCUACAAUUUGCAAUUAAUUGUAUUUGAAUGACUUUUGAGUUUCUUGGUCUAUCCACGACCAUUUGGCCUAUAAAUUGGCUUGUAUUGUUCUUAAAAAACUCAGAUUAUCGAUAGUAAAAAGCUUGUGCUUAUUCAACCCUUUGAUGUUGUCUUUUUCUUUCAAAUCUUGCUUUAGAUUUGAUAUUAAAUCAAUUCAUUGGAUUAGUCUUGAUCAAGAUAAUUCUGGAGUGAGUUGUCUUAGGAUCUAAGAGUGGCCAUCAUAGGUUCUAGGUUCGAUCUAAGUAGCUUUCUUUGUGAGUGUUUGUAAGGAUCCUAGAAGGACCUCUAGCUUUGCAUCCAACAAGCAUCGCGGGCGCUUAUCAUUUGGUAUCAGAGCAUUUGUUCACCAUUCUUGGCCGACUUUAGAGGUGUUGUCUUUACUUUAUUUCAAUUUUUUUUCUCCAUAACAAUUGUUUACAUCUUGUAACAAGACAUACUACAACUUGUCUUGAAAACUUUUUCAAAUCAGCUCUUGGAUCAUAAAGGAAAAAUAAAGUCAGCAAGGACAAAAGAAGUCAACAAAAAAAAAGAAAAAAGUUACUCUAGUCUUAGCUUGUGAGAGUUGAUCAUUUUGGAUGGGUUUUUAUCAAACUUUUAGGAAUGACAAGAAACUUUCAUGUGCUUUUGGAUCUUUGAUUUUUUUUUUUUGCUCACUUUUUUUUUUUUCUUUAUGAUCCAAGAGCUGAUUCGAAAAAGUUUUCAAGACUAGUUGUAGUACCUCUUGUUACAAGAGGUAAGCAAUUGCUAUGGAGAAAAAAAAUUGAAAUAAAAUAAAUUGAAAUAAAGUAAAGAUAACACCUCUAAAGUCGGCCAAGAACGAUGAACAAAUGCUUGAUACCAAAUGAUAAGCGCCCGCGAUGCUUGUUGGAUGCAAAGCUAGAGGUCUUUUUAGAAUCUUUGCAAACACUCACAAAGAAAGCUACUUAGAUCGAACUUAGAAUCUAUGAUGGUCACUCUUAGAUCCUAAGACAACUCACUUCAGAAUUAGCUUGAUCAAGACUAAUCCAAUGAAUUGAUUUAAUAUCAAAUCUAAAGCAAGAUUUGAAAGAAAAAGACACCACCAAAGGGUUGAAUGAGCACAAGCUUUUUACUAUAGAUAAUCUGAGUUUCUUAAGAACAUUACAAGCCAUUUUAUAGGCCAAAUGGUCGUGGAUAGACCAAGAAACUCAAAAGUCAUUCAAAUACAAUUAAUUGCAAAUUGUAGAAAAUAACACCUAGAAACUUGAAACUUAAUUGCACACAAAUUGUAGAAAAUAACACCUAGAAACUUGAAACUUAAUUGCACACUAAGUCAAAAUUCAAAACUAGGAAUGUAGAAAGUCUUCAAUUUGCCUUAAAUAUCUCCUCUAGAAGGUGGCAAAGUAGAUAUGCACAUUUGACAAGGCUUGACAUCACAGUUCCCUAUGCAAUCCACACUUGACAACAUUUUCUUCAAAAAAAUUUGCACACCUUUUUUUUUUAUCAUUGUCAUUUUCCAAACUAUAGGACUUUUCCCGUGCCAUCUUCAUGCCAUUCUCUUCUUGACUCAUUGAACUAACAUUAUAUAAAACUUUGGUCUCAAAAUUAUUUGUCGGUUCUUGUGAAUUUGCUAGUUUUUGAAGAUGUAGUGUGAAUGCCUCUUGAAUCUUCUUUGCCUAGCUUCUUGUAAUUGGUUCUUUAGGUACAUGCAAUGGUUGAAUUCACAUCAGUAACUGCUGCUGGUUUUCCAUAAAGGGGUAGACCUAAAUAUGUGGUAGGCCAUAUCCCAACCUUACAAUCAAAUCUAUUGGCAAUAGAUACCACCCAAUCAUCCUUGCAAUUAAUAUCCAUGAAUUCUGAUUUUUGUCUAUUGAUGUUGAGACUAAAUUGAAGAGGUUUUCGAUCAUCCUCUCAUUGCUAAUGGAGAAAAGUAGAGUGUCAUCAGCAAAAAGAAGUUGAUUGAUGUUGUUGUGAUGUGAGCUUGGGAUUGAGUAUUCGCUAAUAAAGCAUUUUGUAUUUGUCAUUAUGAGGAUUCUGCUAAGACUAUCCAUUAUGAUAAUGAACAAGAAGGGUGAUAAUGGAUCACCUUGUUUAAGGCCCCUAGUUGCUUUAAAUUUCCCCCUAGGUUUGCCAUUUAUAAUGAUGGAGAAAUUUGUGGUAAAUAUGCAGUCUUUGAUGGUCUCCAUCUUGUGCCAAAACCCUUUGCCAUUAACAAUUCAUCAAGGAAAUCCUGAUCCGCCUUGUUGAAAGCUUUCUCGAUGUCGAGCUUGAUGGCCACCCCUUUAAUUUUCUUCGCAUGCCAAUCUUCGAUGAUUUUGUUAGCAAUCAGUGAGGCAUCCAGUAUUUGUCUACCUUCCACAAAGGCUGAUUGAUGGACUGUGAUGGUAGAUGGAAGGUUUUUUUAGGUGGUUUGAUAGAACCCGAGCAAUAAUCUUGUAAAGGCCUGGCUGAUAGGUUGAUAAUCUCCCACCUUCGCGGCAUCAAUUUUUUUUUUGGGGGAUAAGGCAAAUAAAAGUUUAGUUCACGUUGGCAUUGGUGAUUCCAUUCUCAAAAAAAUCUUGGAACACUCUAAUUAAAUAAGUUUUUAGAGUGUUCCAUGAUUUUUUAAAAAAUUCUGAUGUGAAACCAUCGGGCCCUGGAGUUUUGUUAGUGCCUAGAGCCUUGAUUACUGUCCAGAUCUCAAGUUCGGUAAAAGGGGCCUCCGAAAAACUUGCUUGUUCUUGGCUGAUAGGAUCCCAUUCGAGAGGAUAGGAAUAACUCGAUUACCUGGUUUUCUGGUGAAGAGAUUUAUGUAAAAAGAGAUGAAAGCCUCUAUAUCGGUGUCUUUACCAAACUUAUGUUCUGGCCAUUGAGAAUUUCUGUAAUACAGUUCCUCUUUUUUGCACCAGCAAAUUUGUGAUAAAAGGAUGUGUUUUCAUCACCAUUGAUCAGCCAAUUUGUUUUGCACUUUUGCCUCCAAUUUAAUUCCUCAUUUGCGUUUAGGGAAAGGAGCUGAUUUCUAAUCAAAUGUCUUCUAUUGUCAAGAUCACAAGUUAUGGGACCAUUUUCAGAUUCUUGAUCAAUGGAGGCUAAUUCCUUUUGUAGAGAAGCUCUCUGUGUUUCAAUGAUGCCAAAAGUGGAUAAAUUCCAUGCUUUGAUAGCCAACUUCAGGCUCUUUAACUUUUGGUUAAAGCCAUGGCCGGGAUGCCCAAUUAGUGGGUGGUUGUUCUACCAUGAAUCAACAAAAGGGAGGAAGUCUUUGUGGUUUAACCACACAUUUUCAAAUCUGAAAGGUGCAGGACCCCAAUUUUGGUUGCCAAGGAUUAAAAGAAGGGAAAAAUCGUCUGAUGUUGGCCUGUCCAAUCUUUUCAUGGAUGCAUCCUUGAAUUUUGAUAUAAUAAAAGCAUAACAAAGGAAACGAUCGAUUCUUGUAUGUGUGGGAUGCAUGCGUAAAUCAGACCAGGUAUAUUUCCCAUUUGUGAGGUGGAUAUCAAUGAGUUCCCGCUGGUCAAUAAAGGAAUUGAAGGCCAACAUUAGGUCUGCAGCCAUUGGAGUUUUCUUGCGGCCAACGAAUGAGGUUGAAAUCUCCCCCAAUGAUCUAGUUUUCAUCCACAAGGCAAAAGAGAUCAUGGAGCUCAGUUAUAAAAUGUUCUUUUCAGGAUCAUAAGGUGGGCAGUAGACACCUGUUAACCAGAAGUUGUAAUCAUCAGCAAGAUUGAAAAGGACAGUGAAGGAGUAUGCACCUUUUGUAAUCUGCAAUGGAGUAUACCAUGGGGCAUUCCACAUGAUAAUAAUGCCUCCGGAAGAGCCAUUUGCAUCCAUAGAUGUCCAUUCGAUCCCUCUAGAGCUCCAAAGAGAUUUAAUAAAAACAAGGUCGAUAUUGUGGCUUUUGGUUUCUUGGAGAAUAACAAUUGUUGGGUUGUGAUUGUUGAUUAGUCUUUUGAUGGUGGCUCUUUUCUUCCAUGAUCCGAGACCUCUUAACAUUCAAAGAGAGAAUUAACAUUAAGAUGAUUGUGAGCCCUCCCUGUUCAAGGCCUUUGCCUUCUUUUCAUAGGAAAUGGAGCAUUCCAAAUUCUUGACUUCACGUAGGCCCCUCCUUUGUUUUUCUGUAAGUUUGUUUCUAUUCUUCUUGUAGGUAUGGACCGAAUACAGAGGCCACAUUCUUCAAGCUAGGGAGUUAGGGCAGCAAGGUGUGAUAUAGGAUUCAUGGGCUCUGAGUUAUAGUAGGGUGGAGGGGAAGAGAGAAAGUCUGGCCAAUGCGAGUCUGUGUGGCUGGGGGAUCCCGAGAACUCUGAAGAGGGCUAGCGAGGUAGCAGUCAGAGUCGAUGUCGGAUGAAUGUGGGAUGAUAGCGUUGGAAUAUUUGUUACCAGCAAUAAAAGUAGACUGCUUAUGGUCGAUGGUAGGUAACAUUUUUGGUUCUAUGUGGGAUUUUGGAUGGGGAUGGAAGAACGAGGUUUGGUUGGGAGGAGGAUGAGGGUGGGAACUGUUGAAUGAUUUCCCACAAAGGGGAUUGUUGCUGAAGAGCAAUUAGAAUCCCUUUGGUAGGUGUUAUUGACCAAUGGUUGUUUAAGCAGAUGGUUCUGUAAGUAAAGUCAAGUGGCAGGGCUGGAAUUUGGCUGACAACUGCCGGUUGUGGUCUGAUCCCAAAGGUGUGGGGGCUGAGGCCAAGGGUUGAUUUGUGGGGCCCGAGAUAGAGUUAGGAGGUGGUGGGGCCAGGGAUGGGUUCAGAAGAGGUGAUGGCGAAGGACAGGUGGGCCCCAAAUGGUUUACCAAAAGGGGGUGAGAGGGGAUUGUUGUUUAAGGGCAAUUGGGUUUCCUUUGGUAGGUAUUGUUGACCAAUGGUUUUCUAAGCAGAUGGUUUUGCUUGGAAGCAAUGUUAGGUGGCAGGGCUGGAUUAUUGCUGACAGUUACAGGCUGUUUUGAUAUGUCAACAUUACUUUUGAGUCUCUACUGCAGGUUCAGUAAGUUCUGUCCCAACAGAGUACUUUUGCUGUGUAGGGUCAACAUCAACGGGGGAAUUUGAAAAUUAUCAAUCUUUGCACCCAUUUUUGCCGGUAGUUUGGCCGGAGUGCCAUGGAUUCCGGCGAUAACCCCUAUAUGGUAAUCUACAAUAAAAAACGGGUCAAUCGCAACUGCUAUGGCCGAUGAGGACAUUGAGGGAAGCAAAAUCUUUGCCGGGAGGAAACCAGAGUGGUUUCUCGACUUUGAGACUGAUCUCCAUCAAAUCCAUUCUGUUGAGGGUCUUUUUUGCUACUUCCAUUAGUCUUCCACAGGCUUCCCCAAUGUAUUGGAAAGUUUCUAAGGUCCGUUUGUCAAAAGGGAGUCCUCUCACUUUUAUCCAUCCUCCAUAAGAGGGGACAACUUGUUCUUCGUGAAAAACAUUUUGGCUCUAGAGGGAGAAAAGGACUUCGUAAGAACCAAUCUUUUGCCGACCAUUGUAUUUUCCAAGGAUUUUUGCUUGUUCCAUAUCUUUGUAUCUCAGGAUGGCCUUGUUGGGUUGAAAUGGUAAAAGAGAUCCAUAGGCAGUGAUUUCCGCUUGUAUGGCCUUUAGUAUUUUGAACCAAUCGUCAUGGAAGUUUUUCCUUCUGAUAACCACAAUAUUGUAGGUGAAGAUAGGUGUCAGGAUCAGUGAGGAUUGGGUUGGUAGAGAAGAGAGAAUGGUGGUAGUUGGUUGGUUAAUCAAUGUUUCUGGCCUCUUUAGUUUCUUCUCUUUGUUGUCUUCAUUCUCUUGCAUCUCUUGCUUCUUUUUGUUGUUCACAUCAGCCAUAUUAAAGAGGGUUCCUUUUAGGUGGGUCGUUGGCCAACAUUAUUUGUUGGUGGUGACUCUACCUAUAAAAGGUGGUGAGGUCUGUGAAGAGUUCCCAGCCUUUGCGUGGUUCACCCGAAGGAAUAAUAAUUCGAUUUCUCCCACCAUUGUAGUCCAGUUUCACCAGUUCAAUGGAGAAGCCUUUCUUGCUCGUGAUUUUUUCUAUCUAGAUGACUUGAUCAUCAACUUGGAUUUUUUCUAUCUAGAUGACUUGAUCAUCAACUCGUGAUUUAUAUUCCUCUUUCCCCUUUUCUUCUCCUCGCAUUUCCCCAUUCCUCUAUUUUCCCUAAUCUCCUCCAUCUCUUACCUCUUCUCUACCUGAUGCUUCCUCUCCUAACUUGAAGAAUGAUUCUUCCUCUCUCAAUUAUACUUAUAUUUUCCCUCUUUUUCAUGUGUUUAUGGACUCCUUCCCAGGCCAUGGAACCCAUAAUUGCACCACCGCCGAUAAUUUUGUAUUCGGCACCAGCCUCCCGAGCCUUGUCGUCGUCACUCGGGUGGCAUUCCCUCUGCUUGCAUCGUCGUUUAUAGGAUCUGCUGGUCUGAUGGUUGUUUUGACACCAACAUUCUUGCAACUUUCGACUAAUACCCUCGCAAGAUAUGGGUUCACUUCUUUCUCCUCCUGCAAAUGUCUUUUCUGUUUGUGAUGUUUGUGGGUUCACGUCGACGGAUCUGUAGCAUAAUGAAAUACAUAAUACUUGUUUCUUUAGUGAGUUUUGCAGCUCAAUCUAGGAGAUUCUGUUAUGGAUAUUAGACAGUUCCUUCUUAAUGCUCUUGAGAAUUGCUAUUUCACAUGUUAUGAUGGUUCCACUCACCAACUAGAAGAUUAUAAUGAAAUUUCAGAAGUAGCUGAUAUUAUGAUUGAUUGUUGCUCGUUAGAGAUGGUACUUGGUAUGAGAACUUUUAUUUUAUUUUUAAGUGAUUGGCGAUAUAUUUUUGGCAUUCAUGUAUUUACAGUAUUAUAUGGUGAUAGAUCGAUAAAGGCCCAUGUUAACGUUGUACCAGAGACAUGCUUUCCCUUUCCACUCUUCUUAUUUCACUGCCCACAUCUUGCAUUACGGUAUGAACUGUCUUAAAAAAAAGCAUCAACUACUGGAGGUUUUGAUGUUCUGAGUUUGUUUCCUUUAUUGGCUUGUUACAUUUUAAACAUUUUAUUUUGUUUGGGAAAUUUCAUUUUAAGAAGGCUUUUUGGUCUGAGGUGAAUAUCAAACCAAUUAUAGGUACUCUUCCUUUAUUUCUUCACAUAAUUUCAAAAUUGGUCCUUUGAUUCAAAGUUGGAAGCUAGAUUUUUUUUUAUUCAAACGAUCUAGCUUGCUAGCAUUUAAAUAACAUCAUUACGAAUAUGGAUCAUCUGAGGUGUGCAUUUAAAUGGUUUCUUCUGUGCAAGUGCUUCCAACUAUAUCAUGUCUCUUCUGUGCAAGUGCUUCCAACUAUAUCAUGUCUCUUCUGUGCAAGUGCUUCCAAUCUUGCUUCCCUGCCAUUGAAUUUCUUAACGUUUGUAUUUAUACUAAAGUAAUGAUAUUCAUUUGAAAUAUAAAUGUAUGAGUAUUUGAAUAAUAUAUGUUCAAUGUAUCGCUUGAUGUUUUUUGAGCAGGAGGAAGAAACCACUCAACUGAGAAAUUUUGCACAAAGUAUCAAAGAACCGUCUUUUGAAACUUAUUGUUGAAGUAGAGUUAUGAAUCAUGGUUGAUCGAGUUGUUGUAGCUUUUGGUUAAGGUAUAUGGUUUUACUACUGCUGGUUACGUGUGAAGAAUUGAUGAAAAAAAUCUUUGUUACACACUGAUUUGAAAAAAACCAAUAUAUAUAUAAUUAGAAUUGGCUCAAGUGUUUCUCUGCAAAGGAAAAAAAUUUACCCGAGUGGGAUAAGAGAUGCUACAUAAGGGAAAUGCAUUUACGAUUAAAUACAAGGGAAUAAAUUUUCUCUCCAUCAGCAAUGAGGAGGAGAAUUAGGAA